ensembl:lncRNA
AUGUGUUGUCAGUUAUACAUGUGGUCUUUAUGCCUUGGAAUAGGGUAAGCACCUCAGAGGCCAAGAGACCUGAAGGAUCAUCUCUACGCCAAGGAUCUCAGGGGAUAACAAAUGAAAUGCUCUUGGCAGCAGCCAAGAAAGAAGUCGAUGAGAUUUUUCGAGAAUCUGUCAGAAUAGUCAGUGGUUUGGAUCCAGUUGUGCCUGCCUUACCAGAGGGAUAUUCUUCCAUCUCCGAAAAGAAUGUGGAUUUGACAGCCUCAUGCACCAUUAAGGACUUUGACUCUGGUCCUACUACAGCACCUAUGAUGGCUGAGGACGCUAAAGCCUCAGGACUAUCACAAUCCAUCCCCUUGCUCAACCAGUUUACCGACACUGAAUUUCAACAAAGGGCAUCAAAGCAAGUGAGUGAGGUUUUGCUCAAAACUCUUGAGAAUGAAUCCCCAAUUGAGGAAUUUGCUGAAGAUGACGAGGAAUCAAACGCCAAAGCAGAAAGUCAAACAGACCUCUGUAGGGUUCAUGCUAUCUUUCCAUCUGGUCCCCUGUCAGAGUCUCUUGCAGUUGAUCUAGUUGGUGAUAUUAUUGAAUCCAUGAAGGACAAAGUCUCUGGCCAAGAGGUUCAUUCAACAUCAUAUGAUGUUGUUGGAUGUGUUAUUGAAGGGAUGAAAGAUCUUUUGGAGAAAACACGAGCCCUAGGAACUGUUGUUCCAAUGAAAAGGAUCUACAGGACAACAUCUCAAAGAAUGUUCAAUGCAAUUCAGAACAUGGUGGGGAAAUUGUUUUGCAAAUCUUUUCACUCUGACAGUAAAAAGAAAAUGACAGUGGCUUCUGCCAUCAAUGUCACUAGCCAAGUAAUUGUGUCCAUGCAGAGUGAACUUCCCGAUCUCAAGACGGCAGGAAAUCUAGAGCAGGUAGAGCUGAUUGAUAAGAUCCUUAGUGCUAUGUUGAAUGAAGUACAAGUGAUUGACAUUGAAACAGAAACAGACAGGUCACAAAGCCCUGGAUUGCCAUUGUCACACUCCUCAGUAUCAUUUCACUCAGAAAUAGAUGACCAAGCCAAACUCCCCGGUACUUCUGUUCUCCCUGAAGUGUUUAUCGAAAGGAUUUCCCCUCUUCUGACGCAUACUUUUGUUGACAUGGAUGCUGCUUCAUUGUCUCCUGGAUGUGCAAAUGAAACCAUCAGUAGUGUGUUAGACACCAUCUUAGAAUGGGAAAAACGUGUACCCAUCACUGGAAGACUGGAGAAAUUGAUCACUGAAACACAAAUAGGUCAAUAUUCCUGUGAUAUUGCAGAUCGAGUACAUAAAACACUAAAAGGUUAUCAUGGUCUCCAGACCAUUUCCGUGCCAGUUGGAAAGAGUCUUUCAGAUUCUAUUCUUUGCAAAUUAACAUCUAGAGCUGAGGGAAAGAAUGAAAUUCCAUCAGGGUUCGUUUACAGUUAUGUAGAGGAGGCUGUGAAGCGACUACUCCUGUCAUGUUUGUUCCCCUCAGCAUCUUCUGAGAAUCAAGAACUUUUACAGAAUAAUCUAGAGACCUCAAAAUCAUCACCUGAGGUGUUUGGAAGUACAAUGAACGUAUUCACACAAGUGAUGACCAACGAAGUCAUGGUGGCACUCUCCACAGAGUUAAAGGAAAAUGUUUCUUCUGACUUGAAGGAAUUAGUUAAGGAGGAUCAGAAACUCUUAGACAAACAGGCACAGGACACUAAAACUAGAUCAUCCACCACUAACUCAAACAAUCUGCCCCCUCGUACUUUUGACGAACAUACAGAUUUGAUGCAAAAUAGUCAGUGUGAAGGAGUCACCAGUUCAUGUCACCUACGUCUGUUAGAGUCCAACAAGAAGGACUAUGCCUCCUUGGUCUCCAUGCUGGUCAUUCGACUCCUGAAGAAAGUCAAUAGCUUACACCAGGACAUUGGCACCCACCAGGAUGGACUUCCAGAUAAUGUGCUGGAUAUGUCCAGAGACUUGAUUCGGAAGAUUCUGUCUGAGCUCGAUACAGCUUUUGGCAUGACAGGCGAUGAAACCUAUCCUAAGGAUGUGAAUUUUCACCAGAUUUACAGAAACGUUUACAAAGAACUUACUCGACAGUUUGGGUCUGAAGAUGUGCUCCGUUUUGCCCUUGAAUCACAAGAUCAAUCUUUUGAAUCAUCACUGGUAGAAACGCUAACAAAAGAGAUAACAAAGACUUGUAGCCAAACCAGCAUACCAGCUUCUACACAUCUCCCUCCAAUUCAACCUACAGUUGGACAAGACCAAGGAAAGGAAAAGACCAGGAACAAAAUGUUUCCAGUUUGGCUCAAGAUGCCAACAAUCAAAUCGAAGAAACCAAAGAGAGGAUCACAGAGUCUCCUUGUAAGCCAGGCCUCUCCUGUUGCAAACACUAGUAAGUUCAUGGUGAUAUUUGAAGCAACACUUCAACUAGAUCUAACUAUGUUCAUGUUUUUGCCUGCUAUAAAUUAUCCGUUUGGAUGAGGAGGAUAAAUCAUUCCCUAUUUUUUCACAGAGCUCAGUGAGACGCUGGCUGAGGUCACCAAGGCUCCUGUAUCUGCUGGCCCACUGGAGAUGCCACAGGAGGAAGAGACCGUAGGGUGCUGUUUCUUCAGGAUGCCGAAAUUCAAGUUCUCCUUCAAGGUGGAGUUCAGUUUCUAUACGAGAUGUUAUUGUAAUUUUAGACAUUAUGUGUACUAAUGCUGAUCAGAGAGGCUACUGAGUGAAGAACACAUUGGUGUAACAUGAUCUGUGAGUAUGCAGUUUAGAUAUUUCUUUAUUCAUUACAAUUUGAAUUUGAAAUGAUUUAAUCUCUCUCUUAUUUUAUCAGAAAAUGAGGAAAGGCGCAAAAAUUGGGCAUUGUGACGAUGAUAAGUCCUUUGAAGAGAACAUCAAUGUCUCAGGUAAGUGAAACUGAAAGUCUGAACACAUACAAAUACAUUCAUUCACUGUAACAUUGAGUAUUCACUAAGUAGACGUACUUGGAAAGUGUGAUUUUUUUCUUCGCCAUCUCUUUUUCAGCCAUCA